rnacentral:rRNA from 1 species
AGAGUUGAUCAUGGCUCAGAAUGAACGCUGGCGGCAUGCCUAACACAUGCAAGUCGAACGAAGCCUUCGGGUCUAGUGGCGCACGGGUGCGUAACGCGUGGGAAUCUGCCCCUUGGUUCGGAAUAACAGUUGGAAACGACUGCUAAUACCGGAUGAUGACGAAAGUCCAAAGAUUUAUCGCCGAGGGAUGAGCCCGCGUAGGAUUAGGUAGUUGGUGAGGUAAAGGCUCACCAAGCCGAUGAUCCUUAGCUGGUCUGAGAGGAUGAUCAGCCACACUGGGACUGAGACACGGCCCAGACUCCUACGGGAGGCAGCAGUGGGGAAUAUUGGACAAUGGGCGAAAGCCUGAUCCAGCAAUGCCGCGUGAGUGAUGAAGGCCUUUGGGUUGUAAAGCUCUUUUACCCGGGAUGAUAAUGACAGUACCGGGAGAAUAAGCCCCGGCUAACUCCGUGCCAGCAGCCGCGGUAAU